CCCGAGGUCGGGCUGAGGAGCCUGAGGGCCUCCCCCGCCAGCCCGCGGAUUCUCCUUCCCGGCACCUUCGGCUCGGCACCUCCGGCCGCCGGGGCUCCGGUCACUGACAUACAGCUUUUACCUGCCAGAGGACUUCAAAGCCUGUAAUGCUUGGCAGCCAAGCCUGUCUCAGAUUUUUCUAUUGGUUGGAAGAAGUUACUGAAAUUAGACGGCAAAUGCUCCAGCAACACUGGAGUCACAUUCCUACACUAAAGAAGAUUGCCAGUGUGGCUUUCUUGAUUAUAUGCUGCUUCACGGCUGCAUCUUGAACUGGAGGCUAUCUGUCUGAAGGGGAUGGUCUCCAAAGCUGCUCCACACAACAGCAGGAGGGUGACAAGGAGGGAACCACCCCAGAUUUGUGGACUGCCUUUAAUAAAGACCUCUGGUUCUAGAAGAACGGAAUUUUCAUCUCUGUAGGCUUGUACCUACUUAGACUGCUCUUCCCAGAGCACUACCAGCAGUGCCUACCAAAGCAAAAGGACUACCUGCAGUCACCUUGACCUGGCAUGAGGCCUAAGCCUCCUCCCAGAGGCAUCCCAUCUUUGUGAAUCAUGGGGCAAGCUGGGGUACUCUCAGGGAAUCCCCAUGUGUGCCUGUUGCCUAAAAUUGGCUCUUAAAAGAAACCUCUAAGACUCAGUUUUUGAGUCCUUUUACUUGUUGUUGCUGCAAGUAUCAUGUUGGAUUAUUUUACCUAGGCAAAAGGACAGAAAUAGAUCAGUUCUAUUACUUUAACCCUUCUUUGAUUAGUAUCAUCUUUCAAAGUAUAUACUGCUCUCUUAGAUACAACAAUUAUAUUUUCUCAGGUUUAUAUAUAUGCAUAAAAUAAUAAUGGUCCUGAUUUUGUACACAUUAUUCAGUAAAGAGUUUCUGGAAGAGCAAAAACCUGGCUUCCAUUACACAAAAAAAUGAUAAAUAAUAUAAAAUAACAUGUCAU